GGCGCGCUGCGUGGGCUGCUGGAGUGUCUUCAGCGGGUGGCAGAUGGCGAUGUAGCGGUCCAGAGUCAUCAUCACCAUCAUCUUCUCUUGAGGAAUUUCCAUCCACUUCCAGUCCAGAUGGAACAAAUCUUCCCUCUGUGAUUCCAGGCCUCCACCCCGCUUCCUGUAGUCUGUAAAUCUCCCAGUGAAGGCUCCCAUGAGGCGUCUUUAUCAACCACCCAGACCACCCCAAGCGGCUGCCGGUUCACUACCAGAGUCUGUGAAAUUCCCUCCGGAGCAGCGCCAGCGUGCAGAUAGCAACUCAUUUAGCUGGAAGGCUCUGCAGAUGUUUGCAGUAAAGCGUCAGGACAAAGAGGUGGGAAACGCAAAGCAGAGUCGCAGCAUCUCCUACAUGAAGCCUUCAGCCAGAGCGACCCAACCAAAGCGGCCACAGGCGCCAUUCAAAGCCGUUCCUCCCUGGUGGGGCCACCAUCACCAACGACAGCAGCAGAAGAACGUUUGACUGUUACGGUCUGUCCCACAUGGGACGUGCAGGAGGUUGUUCCACCGUUUUAGAAGUUUAGAAUUCAGAUGCAGAGAAAACGGUUUGAUGGAGGCGGAUGAACUGCAGUGACCCUGGAAAGAAGCAGCUCCAAACAUUUUGGUUUGAUGUAAUGGAACCGCGACAGCUUCUCCCCAACAGGAGCAGAUUUGUUGCUUUCAACUCCACAAGAACUUCCCUCCAGGUCUGUUCUGGAUGACGGACUUCUUGAAGUGGUUUGAUGGCAGUUUAGUUGUUUUAUUUUUUCAAAGUUUGUGACCAGAGUUGAUGUAAGGGAUAAUUGAGCAUUAUGCUGCUUAUACCACGGUUACUUAAGUGUCAAAUAAGAUUCCCCGGCUGCAGCAAAUUUGAUCCAAAAUGUAAGGAGGAAAAAUGUCUUUUUUCUCCUUUUAGACAUGGCAACAUUGCUGUAGAAUCCAAUUAGAAAAACUGCUCUACCUAUAAAAGCAGUUCUAUAUGGCGACAUCCGAUACAUUGGGCCACUUUUUGAUUAAUCGCUUGGGAAACUGAGAAAAAAAACAACGUAUGACAAUUGAUUAUGUUCCUAAUAUUAAUAAUAAUCAUUUUCAGGGUUUUUGUGUUGAAUUUAUAGAAUAAAAUAUUAUUGCUAAAACUCCACAGCUGUUGAAAGAUCCGCUGUCCCACAAUUUUGAGAUGAGCCACAGUUAGGAACUGGAUGUUUUGUAAUAAAAUCAAAUUAUUUUAAGAGCAACAUGUUGGAACAUUACAAUAACAGUUAUUAAAUGUGAUUUAAAAAAAUCGGACAAUUGUCUGUUUCCUCACAUUUGAAGUACUUUGCCUCUGAAGUAGAAACAGUUGUUCCAAGUAUCUGCUGUUCCGGUUACCAACUGGCAUUUAGGGAAGCGCAGUAACAUUUGUGUGACCAGAACUUCUUUUUGCAGUCUCCACUAUGACUGUUUAAUGCAGCCAAUCAGAAUUGAGUAUUCCCCGGGGUCAUGGUAUACCUUCUGAUAAAUAACUGUGGUGCUUUGUGGCUCAGCCGUUCUUCUAUUACUAACAGCUGCUUUGUGUCUUCAACCUCCCAUCACCUUUGGGCCUUCCUGUUUGGAGAAGACCCUAACCCACUUAAGCUCCUCCACCUGGAGCUGGGACUGUUUCUGUUUCUGAAAGAAAGCGAUCCAGGCUGCUUCAUACCCCCAAAGUCAGCUCGUUGACUGUAACCCGACAACAUGAAGAGCUCAGAACGACUGUGUAAAGUUCAUCCCCUGAGAUAAACCACACGUGCACUUUGAGCGCUCGCUGCCUUACAAGGCCAAGCGUUCAUAUCUUAAUGUUCAAUCUAUAUGCACGGAGCAGAGCAGGGCUUUGGGAGCCGCAGAGGCUGACUGUGUUUUUCAUGUCGGAGGCAGAGCCAGCAGUGGCUGCAGACCAUUACAUAAUGUUUGGUGGUUAAACAAUGGCGGGGCCUGUCAGGGUUAUAGAUUUAUGACGCAGAAACUCUGGAGGCUGACGGGACGCCAUCGCCGCAGAUAACACGGGCUUGAUAAGACUGAGGCGCGGUGGAGGUGUUCGACUGCACUUCUGUUUGCUUUUUUAUUCCCAGACCAGCAGUUUUCCCUUCAGCUUGGUCGUCACAAAAAAAUAUGAAGUUAAAAUUAAAGCCGUUUGUGUUU